CUUAGUAAACUGACCGGGGAAGGGCAGGAGGGUGGGUUUAGCAUAGUCUACUGAGAUCUUCACUUCAAUACCCAAAGUGGCCCUAUACAUUUAAUGAUAACCGAACCCAAGCAAGGAGCUUCAAUCUUGUCUAUUUCCUUGAAUGGUCGGGUUGGAAAGUCUUUAUUUUAUGUAUCGCCAAAUCUCCACGACGAAAUCCUUUGUUGGAAGGCUUGCUGAUUCAUGAUUUACACCUCUCUCCGCCGCUUCUUAACAGUUGACUGCGAGAUUAGCACUUUCUUCGUUACUAACAGAUAUAUCUUUUCCGCGCGAGCUAGUUCAACAGUUCAUUCUUGUAAGCCCCUUUGUCAGCCACACUAAGACUUCGGGUCAUCAUGCACUGACACAAUCAUUAUCUGAGGGCCUAUGAUCAUCCAAAAGCAGUACCAGGCAUACUCCUAUCAAAAGAUUAAGCCGGAUUCUACUUCUUGUGUACAAGCAGAGCAUCAACAAUCCUUUUCGUUACCAAUUACAAAUGGUAUAAACUAAUCGAGAUGCUUCUACACGUCCAUUCUUGACGGAUAGUAAUACCCGUCUUUUGCCUGACCCGGCCUGAACAUCUUUUCAAUCGGUCUAGUCCACGCGUGGACAGAGGAACGAAGUAGCUGACGCCCUUGCUUUCGUUUCGCGCUAGCUGCUUUCCCUUAUGUUACGCUAAUUGUGCUUCGUCACCUCUUUUUUAUUUAUGAUGUAGUAGAGUAAUAACACACGCGCUCGCACUUCGACCAAUUACGCACUUCCCCGACCUCUUCGACGAUACAUCUCUUUUGGUUGGUUUGUGCUACAGAGAGGUACUCCGAUCGACCAGGUUCUUAUUUUGUAAAUCGUGUAAAUAAGGUCUGAAGAAUCUCCUGUUGCGUGAUAUCUGAUAUCACAUGGAGGAAGACAGCUGCCCACCUGCGUUGGUCUGCAUCUGAUUACUAUUCCCUAAAGGAUAUUCCAUUCUCUGGACUUCUAACCUCUAUUAUGGAUCUCCCUCUCCUUUCAGUCGAGUAUAUUCUAAACCUUCGGUCUCACAUAUUUUAGAACCUCUCCUUAUUUGGUUAAUAAAUUAUUUCCUUGCCAAUUGCCUUCAGUUUCGGAUCACUCAUUUACCUAGCAUCAUCUAUAAGUUAUAGGCCGGACCACUUUCCACUUUUGAUGGAACCAUAUAUUACGACUAAGUUUCCAUCUCCCUUCGUUGAUAGCUGUGUUAGAUCAUGACUUCUUUUUUUAUGGGUGAAAAUGGUCUUAUCUUUUUUUUAGAUCUCCUAUGACUAAGCUUCAAGUGAAACAGAAAAAUCUUUGACUAGGCCUAAAUGAAAGAUAAAUAAAGCAGUCUAAUUGUCUUUUGGAUAUCUUUCUCUUCAAAUGAGGGCGGCCACAGAGGAUGUUCAGGCCAGAGGCUAAUCUUCAAGAUAAUUGGAAUGACGAUACUCUCGGCCAACUUAAGUCUUCUAAAAAUAAAGGGAAUGCGGAGGUUUAGAAUAUGUGAGACCGAAGGGCGAAGGGAAAAUUCUUUAGGAAAAAGCUCGGCUUAAGUUAAUACAGAUGGAGAUCGUAAGACUGCCUUUUUCCAUGCAACUUUGAAGGCUUCCCCCCAAUCUGCAGUAUAUAUGAAGGACCAUGUCAAAACUUAGUUAGAUGCACAUUUUGAAAUGGGACGCCUGUGACGGGAAAGGAAUGAGCUUUAGAUUAUUUACUCCCUCUCGCCUGACACAGUUUGACACGCGGUGAUAGCCGAUUGGCCCUUUAUCUAUAUAGUGGUAUAAAUAAUAGAAGGAGAAUAGGCAGGCGGGAAAAGCAAGCGUCUGAUCAGAUCAAUCAAGAGAUAGGGCUUCGGUCUCACCUAGCUAUCAGAUCAAUCAAGAGAUAGGGCUUUGGUCUCACCUAGCUUGCCUAAGCAAGGACUAGGUUGUCGAGUGAGGAUUGGGUGAGGGGCCCUUGGGCCCUAAGGGAAUAGAUUGUAGCUCGGUACAAAUAAGCCAGUAAAAAAAAGACAGGUAGAAGGCAGUUAAAGAGGAGUAGGCAGAGGACGACGAAGCCGGUGGGGUACGUAAACGAGGACAGAUCACAUGCUUUUGUACAGGUCAGCUUUGAGCUGUCGACUAAGGAUUGCUCCAGCUCUUAAUAAAGGGGCUUUGAACCCUGCCUUAUUAUACUAUCACGGGGAAUACUCUCUAAUGCACUAUUAUUGGUGCCUAUUCCUUAGGGAGUGACCGGAAUUAAGCCGCGUAGCCCGCGUGGGACUAUUCGCUCUUUGGGGUCGGCCUUUCGUACUAAAAUCCGUAGGGGGAAAGGACAAUUAUUCAGAGCACUAAAAUAUAGCAGGUUCAAUAUUAAUUCAAAGCCAGGGCUAAAAUGAUUUAAUUCAGGCUAUAAUCUUACUUAGAAAGAAAUAAUCAAGGCUUAAAGAAUGGCCUCCUUCGCCUAUAAAUUAGAAAAUGCAGUCGUAGCAAAGGGGGACAUUGAAGUAAGCAAGAAAAAGCUUUGACUAGCUAUGGAUCCUGCUCUAAGACUCUCGCUUAUUCCACAAGAAAUAUCUCAAGCGGAAGAGGAAAAGCUCGAAUGUGAGCAAUUGCUUGGUCUGUUCUGGGAGCAUCCGCCUGCUAUCAAUCCGGAGGCCAUAGCACAAGUUAUGCAACAGAGUCGGGACCAGAUUCGUGGUCUCGAUGACCGGAAGAGGGCGCUCCUCAAAAAAGAGCGUCAGCUCAUUCUUCAGGGAGCAAGUGGUCACCUGGGAGAAUAG
rnacentral:lncRNA from 1 species